UGGGGAAUCAUGGUCAAUGGGCGAAAGCCUGAACCUGCGACGCCGCGUGAGUGAUGAAGGUCGUAAGAUCGUAAAACUCUUUUCAGGGAUCUUAAAGCCUGUCUGUCAACAACAGGCAGGUCUGACUCUCCCUGGAAUAAGCCACGGCUAACUCCGUGCCAGCAGCCGCGGUAACACGGGGGUGGCAAGCGUUGUCCGGAAUUACUAGGCGUAAAGGGCAGGUAGGCGGAUCAGUAAGUCGGACGUUUAAUCCUCGGUCUUAAGCUGAGACAUGCGUUUGAUACUGUUGAUCUAGAAUGCGGCGGGGGAAGACGGAAUUCCGGGUGUAGCGGUGGAAUGCGCAGAUAUCCGGAGGAACACCGAAGGCGAAGGCAGUCUUCCAUACCGUAAUUGACGCUGAACUGCGAAGGUGUGGGGAUCAAACA
rnacentral:rRNA from 1 species